rnacentral:rRNA from 1 species
GAUGAACGCUGGCUACAGGCUUAACACAUGCAAGUCGAGGGGAAACGACGGGGAAGCUUGCCUCCCCGGGCGUCGACCGGCGCACGGGUGAGUAACGCGUAUCCAACCUGCCUCUGACUGAGGGAUAACCCGUCGAAAGUCGGCCUAAUACCUCAUGGUAUCGUCUGCGGGCAUCCAACGACGAUUAAAGAUUUCAUCGGUCAGGGAUGGGGAUGCGUCUGAUUAGCUUGUUGGCGGGGUAACGGCCCACCAAGGCUACGAUCAGUAGGGGUUCUGAGAGGAAGGUCCCCCACAUUGGAACUGAGACACGGUCCAAACUCCUACGGGAGGCAGCAGUGAGGAAUAUUGGUCAAUGGGCGAGAGCCUGAACCAGCCAAGUAGCGUGCAGGAAGACGGCCCUAUGGGUUGUAAACUGCUUUUAUGCGGGGAUAAAGUGAGGGACGUGUCCCUCAUUGCAGGUACCGCAUGAAUAAGGACCGGCUAAUUCCGUG